AAUGAAAAAAGACCUGGCACUCUAUCAAGACAUAAUAGACAUGAUCCAGAGGGCUUGGGCUUGGCUACAACAAAAAUAUCGUACGGAUCUGAAUGUGUCACUUCCUCCUCCUGUUCUACUCUCUUGGGUGCCCACGCAGCCGUUUGGAACGAAUCUAUGUGGAUACUAUGUUUGUGAAUUUAUGCGGUGCACCCUAUUUAAACCUGCUCAAAGUGUUCUAAAAGAGUGGAAUAUGAAAGAUAAAGUGUUCGAGUACACAUUACUCCUUGG